ensembl:lncRNA
CUUGCUUGAACACGUUUGUGUCGCAUUUAAUUGUUAUGUUUGUCCUAGAUUAUGUUCCUAUGAGGCUUUUGGGCUUUUUUUCCCGGGUUUACUGACCGGAACUCAGUUUUAUUUUCCUAUUACAAACAGCUUUUAGCAACAAUAUAUAAAAAUAAAAUAAAAACAUGUGAAAUGAAGACGUCAGCAGCUUGUUGUUUCGGGGGAAUUAUUCUGUGCAUCGGGCUUUCAUUGAGAGCAACAGAUUCCGUCUCUCACAGUUGAAGUGUACAGACCUCUACAUGCUUUAUUCCAAUGAUAGCAAGCUUUCCACUCCACUCCAGCUGACGCUUGGCAUUGAGGUGAUCUUGUGCUUGUGUGCAGCUGCUCGGCCAUGGAGACCCAUUUCAAGACACUCCCGACGAACAGUUAUUGUGUUGACGUCGCUUCCAUUGAAUUAAGGGGCGUCCACAUAGUGUACG